rnacentral:tRNA from 1 species
UGGCGGCAUAGCUCAGUUGGCAGAGCAAACGGCUCAUAUCCGUUCGGUCAUUGGUUCAAGCCCAAUUGCCGCUAA